UAGGGAAUCUUCCACAAUGGGCGAAAGCCUGAUGGAGCAACGCCGCGUGAGUGAUGAAGGCCUUCGGGUUGUAAAACUCUGUCAUUCGGGACGAACCGGAGUCUGAGGAAAUGCAGACUCUCUGACGGUACCGGAGGAGGAAGCCCCGGCUAACUACGUGCCAGCAGCCGCGGUAAUACGUAGGGGGCAAGCGUUGUCCGGAUUCACUGGGCGUAAAGCGCGCGCAGGCGGUGAUGUAAGUCUGAGGUGAAAACCCGAAGCUCAACUUCGGGACUGCCUUGGAUACUGCGUCACUUGAGGAUAGGAGAGGCAAGGGGAAUUCCACGUGUAGCGGUGAAAUGCGUAGAGAUGUGGGGGAACACCUGUGGCGAAGGCGCCUUGCUGGCCUAUUUCUGACGCUGGGGCGCGAAAGCGUGGGGAGCAAACAGG
rnacentral:rRNA from 1 species